rnacentral:ncRNA from 20 species
UUUAAACACUAGGGGUGUCCAAAAAUGGGCUGAGAUGGUGCUGUAAGUACCGAUCCCUUUGAACCUGUAAGCUCAAACUUGCGUAGGAAAGUGUCACAGCUAAUGU